CAUUGCGAAGAAACGUAUCGAGCCCCGAGCCGCUUUCCUCUCUCUCCCGAUGUACAUGGCCUCCAAGACACGCCACCCUCUUCCACUCUCCUCCAGAUCUUCCUCUCGUCGGGGCGGCUCCCGGACCUCCGCCGCCACCGCAGCCGCGCUGGCUCAUCUCACCGGCGUCCUCCACCAGCACGACGUCAUCCCAGCAACACCACCCGCCUCUGUGACAAGAACCACUGACGGGCGAGGCGAAGAGUUCGCAUACGGGGCAUGACGAGGCGGCGACGGCGGCGCGGUGAGAUUUGUGAGUCAACUUAGUGGCGAGGAGAGAAUGAUCCCAUGCCCGCGCCCCUCCUCGGCAGGGCUGGAUCGAGGGUCUGAUCGCCUUACAUCGCCGGUGAGUUCCCCAUAUCGGUAAUCUCUCUGCCCAGAUUGAAACCUGCCACCAUCACCCAGCAUCUUCUCCAUCCAGUUAUGCCGCAACUAACCUCGUCCAGAGAGAUCAAGCCAAACAGAAACAUUCUUGACGACGAUGCAUCAGGGGCAUCUACAGAGGCAACAAACCGUGGACGAUUUGGGGCUCCUUCGGCAUGAAGCAGCAAGCCAUGUCGAAUUGAGAUGGAGUUGGGAAAGGAGUGGUCUGCAUCCAGGAAUGCAUCUGCGAGUGGAGCUCCAAACGGCGUGUUGGUGAAUGGCAAUGUCAAGAAACACAACUCUACGGAACAUUGUGAUUUAGGCUUGCAAGAGAGAUAUUCUGAUGCUAUUCCAGCAAGAUUGUUUAGUGACAGUUGCACGUAUAUAUGACUUCUUCUCCAGGUGAUACCAAAUUACGCGAAUGCGUUGGGAUAUGCAUCGAGCUUGUUUCCUGGUGGUACAAGUUUCCUGAUAUUGAUUGAAUUGGCUCGCAAUACUUGGCCUAGAAGUAAGAUUGCUCCAAGAUUUAGUUGCACUUGUACUCAUGGAUUCAGUUUUCUUGUGCUUUUUGGAGAUUAAAGUGCACCUUCCUGCUGUCAGAUUGCCACUAGGUGGAUACACGAUCCUAAUAUAUAUUUUGAUAUUUUUUUAUCAUCACUCGAAAGUGUCUGGGUUUGAUGCUGGUUUGAACCUUAAAUGUAGCAGUUGUAUGACACUAUCUCAUUUCAGAAUCAUUGAAGUACAAAAGCAGAGUAGAUCUUCCUCUCCAAGGGCUCCAUUCUAUGGGCCAAUACAAGGUGAGCUAGCUAGCUUCUUUAACCUGUACUGUUUAAAUUAAAUAUCCUUAAUUUCAGGUAUUAUUAAUUGCAUUUUGCAUGCAUAAUGUUAUCCUCACUUGUGUCCUGGUCCGGGAUUGGAGGCCCCCUUGUUGAUUAUGAUGGCAACUUUGUUGGGAUGAACCAUUUCCACAUAAAGCCCAGCAAGCUGCAGUUGCACUGUAGUUGAUUAAGGUUAUACGAGUGCCGUCAAUACAUAUAUAUGCUACACCGUGAACUUACAUUUAAGAAGACCCAUGGAGAAAUUGUUUAAUAAAUUUCGCUGACGUGAAAUAUCUAUAACUUUUUGGCUCCCUUGUUAUAUACUUCCCUUUGUUCAAUAGCUUUAUUUUGUUGCUUUGUCCAUGAUAUCUCAUCUUUUGUGGAUUUACCAGCCAGUUUUCUACACUGUGUUGUAUGGUUGAUGAUGCUACAAGAGCAAGAAUCCGAUAUGAGAUGGAAGAACCAUGUUUUCACAUGAUAGUGAUGUGAGGUGAGCAAAACUAUUUCACAGGACACUACUUCAGCCCUAGACUCAAGAGGCGCUGCUGACAGCCGUUGAACUCAAAGGAAGAGAGUAAAAGGAGACAGGGUGGUUAUAUUCAUUUCGACUUGCAUAAAUUGUUGCACUUGUAUAGUUCAAGAACUAUAUCAAGCACUUUUAACUUGCGUAUCAUGCCAGACCAGUGUAUCAUUAAUUCUCUCAAGGAGACAUUUUACAAGGUUUUGCUUCAGAAAUGAACCAAAGCGCUACCUCACUUGGUUCAAAAUCAAUAGAACCUCUUGCUUGAAAAAUGAAUCUGGAGUGUUCUCACUUGCUUCAGAUGUGGUGUUUGAUUUGAAGGCAAAUCAAGGUUGCAGUAAAAUUUAUUUCCAUAUUAAUGUGUAGUAGGAAACCAGGAGUGCUUUCACUGUUAUUGGUAAGUUGUUCUACCAAUGUCUGGAUUAUAAGAGCGAGGUAUGCUACAUAUCUUAAUCUGAAUUGUGGCCUUCCUCAGUAACUCAAUUCAUCGAUGGUAAAAAGUCCAUAUAAUUAUAUAUACACGCUAUAAUUUAGCCUAUCCUCUUUAUAUGUUUCUAACUACAUGCAAAUAAUGCAAAUUCGUGAAUUAUUACUAGGGAAAUAUUUUGUUCCCAUCCGUGGGAGUAUUAUAUGGAAACUCGACCUGUCAGUGAAAGAAAUUUGCCUGCCUUCCUGUCAUAUUUACAUUUACCUUGUUAUUUCAAAACUGCAGAAUGCUAUCUUGUCCCGUGUAUAUAAAAUGAAUGUUUUAUUGUUUUA